rnacentral:rRNA from 1 species
AUUGAACGCUGGCGGCAGGCCUAACAUAUGCGAGUCGAGCGGGGUUUUCGGACCUAGCGGCGGACGGGUGAGUAAUGCGUAGGAAGCUGCCCGAUAGAGGGGGAUACCAGUUGGAAACGACUGUUAAUACCGCAUAAUGUCUACGGACCAAAGUGUGGGACCUUCGGGCCACAUGCUAGCGGAUGCGCCUACGUGGGAUUAGCUAGUUGGUGAGGUAAUGGCUCACCAAGGCGACGAUCUCUAGCUGGUUUGAGAGGAUGAUCAGCCACACUGGAACUGAGACACGGUCCAGACUCCUACGGGAGGCAGCAGUGGGGAAUAUUGGACAAUGGGCGCAAGCCUGAUCCAGCCAUGCCGCGUGUGUGAAGAAGGCCUUCGGGUUGUAAAGCACUUUCAGCGAGGAGGAAGGGUGGUGUGUUAAUAGCACAUCAUUUUGACGUUACUCGCAGAAGAAGCACCGGCUAACUCUGUGCCAGCCGCCGCGGUAA